UAUUUUACUUAAUAUUAUUGUAUAUUGCCUAAUGUCAUUUUUAAUCUAUGUACCAUACUUUAAACGAAUCUAAUAACUUAAAUUAACUUCUAGUAUCAUAAUUUAUAAUUUUAACUUAACGAGUAUAACUGAUAAAAUAUUUUCCAUAGUAAUUUAUACAUUUGGGUAAACUAUUUGCUAUAACGUGUGAAACAUUUUAGUAUUAUUUAGUUUAUUUUAGAUUCAGAGCGUAGCGAGGGUGCUAUUGGUUUU